rnacentral:lncRNA from 1 species
GUUAUAUGAUUGAUUUCCAUUUUAAGCCAAACCACAGAUAACUGAAGUUAGUAGCAAAGAUGGAAAAUCAAAAGGAUUAACACCAUCUGUGUCGUAAGUACAUUGGCUUGACUGUAAACGUAUCUUAACAAAUGUAACCUUUUAAGACAUAUCAUGUUUUUCUGUUUUUAUAUCUUUGAAUUUUGAAAUUCAUCUCAUCAACCUAUUGGUCCGAGUACACAGUUAUCGUCCUUUGAUUUUCAUUAUCCUAUAACGAAUUCCAAAUUUAUUUCUCCAUGUUUUAUGCCUCGUAUAGCAAGUAAGUAGGAAAAAAAGGGGAGGGGUUAAAUGCCACUAAAAGAGAAUUGGGUGAUCAAUUUUAAAGUAAAGUAGUGAUUUGGUCCAGCUGAAAAAGGUUAAAAACUUCGGAAGCUGUCAAAAGAUUUCCAAGACCCCCUUUACAUAAAAUUGUCCAUAUUUUGAGUUAGAGCCGAUGAAGUUUUCUAUAACUUUGAUAUAAUUUGUCCCUAAGGUAGUUCAACACACUGUUAAAAUAUAACUGAGAAAGCGCAGGUGGGAUUUUUUUUUUAAUUUUCAUUUAUUGUUUAAAAGAAAGGCACUACGAAACAACUGUGUACUAGGACCUUUUACCGUAAUUUGUAAAAUUAUAUUACUUUGUUUAUCACAAUUAUUUCUUUCUUUUAUUCUGUCGGUCUUUGUAUUGCCUAUUAAAAUGUUGUCUAUGACCAUGAAUGGUAAAGAGUUUAAUAUACACAUUUCUAACGUUUUAUUACCAGUACAGAAUUUUUUUUUUUAUUUCUUAUUUUUUUGUUUAGGAUACUGUACGCCAAGUAGCAAAAGCUUUAAUGACAAUUUAGCCGUAUUUUCAUUGUUAUAAUUUUGUUGGUCUCUCUGCGACUUAUAUGUUUUGGUUCUCCCUUCAGGUGUACUCUUCAAUGCUUGUUAAUUGAAUGUCCAAUCCAUUAUUUAAAUUGAUAAUCUGCAACUAAUAUUUGCCUCCUCCGUUUGUUUAAUCAUUUAUAUUCACGUAUGUUCAUAUAUGAAGCAUGGAGAGUUGACUAGGUUGGAUUGUGUUUUAGAUUGCUUUAUCGGUCAUGUAUACUAUAUAGCUCCUGCAAUAAUACAGAAAGAAUGGCAUGCAAGAAAACAAGGGAUCAACAUGAACGCUUCUAAAUAAAGAACGAUCUAUGUAGUUCCCAAAUAAUCUUUGUUUAACGCAUGAUCGUUUUUCUUUUUUUUGAAACAAGUUUCAGAAAUAAUACAAAUAGGUGAUUAAAUUCAUCAUUACAUACUAGUACGACAGAAGAGGGGAUGUCAGCUCUUUCAUAUUUAUAGCUUACUGUUUUUAUGUAGCAUCAUUUUAACAGUGCCUGCAUAUAACCUAGACUGUAUAUAUCUAUCUUAAUAAUGUAUACGAUAUUUAAAAGCUUGUGUUUAUUAUUGUCUGUUGAAGUGUUGCUGAAUAAAGAAAGUUGAAGCUAUUCGUUGUAAGGUCGAACGUUGUUAGUUUUAAGAGUGUUAUCAAUCAAGACUAUCACGAAAUGUUCGUUUUCAUAGCAAUUAAAACGGUGCUCUUUUCCGUAUUAAGAACCAUCGUAUGGGAUGAAUUAAGAGCAUUUCACAUAUUUGAGAUUAUGGAAUAAUAUAUCGUCGUUUUUCGAAAUUUUCCUUUGAUCUCAAUGGCUGAUAAUUUCCGUUUUCAGCACAGUAGAGUGAUAUGAAAACAAAUCGCUAAAAAAUAAGGGCGCAUGUGCCUGUUAUCAAUUAAAUUAUAAACGUCGUCGCAAGUAAAUUAGCGAUAAACAGAUUAUUAUUGGUCAUCUCAACUCAAUUCCUUUUCUCACUUUCGCCGUACCGGCUAAAUCGAGACAAUAAUCUCGUUGAGAUGAUCAACGAUAAUCUGUAAUUAUCAAUGUUCAUAUCAAAUAAAUGAGUACACAUCGCUUAAGCCUUAUUUAACGUAUUUUAACCGCAUUAUGUUUUUAAUGUACUGUACCUGUUUAUACAAACAUCCCAUGCACAAAAUUGUGAACGCCAGACACGCGUUUUGUCUUUAAAAAAACUCACCAGUGGCACUCGAAUCAAGAAAUGUUAAAAGUCCAAGUAAAGUACAAAGCUGAAGAGUAUUGCAAAGUUAAGAAAGGUUUAGCCAAAUACAGCUACAUGAAACGUUAAUUUUUUUUACAAUUUAAAGUGUUGUGAAUAGUUAAUUUAUAUCUUUGAAUACUCAUAUAAUUGAUAAUACAUUUCACCACAAUAGUGUAGACUACCUUUAAUCUGUUGAUAAUUACAAGUUUAAAUGAUAAAAAAUUAGUUUAAAUGAUAUUUAAAAUAUAAUAAAAACUUUUAUUGUUUUCAUAGAUGGAUAGUAAUUGCCAAUGGUUUAGGUAUAUUUUGGUUACUUCCAGUAUCGAUUUUAGCUGUUUGUGUUUUUUGUUUUAAAGAUAGAAUUAUGAAUUCCAUUGAGAGAG